rnacentral:rRNA from 1 species
GAUUUCUGACGAAACUGCUAGCUGGCCCGUCACGUCAGUGAUGUGUGCCGGCUUGGCGUUUGUCAUCCGUUCGAAUGAUAUGCGCGCUGCCCUUCACUGGGUUGGUGCUGCAUGUUUUCGAUCUUUUACUUUGAAAAAAUUAGAGUGUUUCAAGCAGGCAUGUUUGCUAUGAAUACAUUAGCAUGGAAUAAUAAUCUAGGACUUCGGUUCUAUUUUGUUGGUUUCUAUAACUGAAGUAAUGAUUGAUAGGGAUAGUUGGGGGUGCUAGUAUUGGCCGGCCAGAGGUGAAAUUCUUGGAUUCGGUCAAGACUAACUUAUGCGAAAGCAUU